ACUACAUCGAGGAGAGGCUUUCCCGAAGCAACAGAUAGCCGAGGGAUUAGCGUGGGUUUAACGACGCAACUCGCACCCGUGCAGCGAUAAUUUCAGACUAUUGGACCAGAAGAGAAAUCGAGCGAUGGCCUAGGGAGUUGUGGAAGGCAAAGUAGCUGUAUCUCUAGCAGCAUCUUAUGGACCAAUCUCAUCCCGCGCUGCUUCGGUGGGUUGGAGAGGGAAGAAUUAAUUUGUACUCAUGAGGCGAAAUUAUACAAAAUUGUAUGUAUGAAGGGAGAUUCACUUGGGACGCCCACUUGUGUGAAGGUUUCGAACACACGCUCGGUGAUUUUGCGGUAGACAACCAUCUAAUGGAGUUAAGAUUAUGGCACGGCAACUCGUGAAACGUGAAAAACAUGCGUUUUGAUGUCUCGGGGAGGAUGUGCCGAGUGUGGAGGUCAAUAAAUUCUUUUAACUGCUGAUUAAAUCAAGGGAUAGAUGAAAGCUCCUGGUGGCAAGGGGAUCGUGGAUAUUUUGAACGUGUCUUCGUGAUGGCGGGAUAGCUGCCUUUGAUCCGCUUAAGUUGCACAUCGUUGAUGCAGCAGAGGAUUAUCCAACAUGUGAAUUAUUUUCAAUGAGAUGUGGGGGAGAGGGAGACUAGAACGUCCCGUGGAUUUAAAAAGGAUGACGCGAUUAACCUCAGGAGUUAGUCGGGGAAAGCGUGUGGAAAAAUUCUAUUGGAAAUCCUGAAGCAUCUGCUGGAGAAUUGUGUCGAUUCCUCGAGGAUUUCGAUCGAGCGAAAAUCACUCCGCCAUGAUUGUCCGCGAAAUUAAUAUCGAAAUCUAUAUAAUAAGAAUUUAUCAAUUUAUUUUGUUGAAUUUGCAUGCCUCUGAAAAAAUCCACUCUUUUUUUUAUAGCGCCUUCAUUUCGUCAAUUAUUUAUUUAUUUAUAAUUUUUAUUAUUUUCUUUU